rnacentral:miRNA from 1 species
GUGUGGGUGCGGGCGUGUGAGUGUGUGUCGCUAGGGUCCACGCUCAUGCACACACCCACACGCCUGCACUC